GGUCAUGUGGCACAACAGCAGAGUGUUCGGCUCAUAACCAAAUGGUCCCAGGUUUGAAUCAUGGCAUGUCA
rnacentral:tRNA from 1 species